AAGAAGACCUGCACAAGUAAAUAAAUUAUAAAUAAUCAGAUUGAUAGUCAUUAGGUAACUUUUCAAAUCCAAUCCGAUAUGAUUCUUACCUACUUAGAUAUCAGAACAUAUCUGUGUGCAUCAGUCAGUCUUAAUUUUUGCAACGCAGUUAGUUGAAGUAGGUUAUCAGUUGACCCACGAUGUGCGUAGUUGAUCGUUUAGGCACGUUACGUCACGGGUUUGCUUAAUUGAUAGACAAAAUAUGGCCGUUAUUGCUUAUCACAGUCAAUUUUCAAUUGCUAUGCUAAGGAUCUAUUUACCAGUUGGUUAUAAAUUAAUAUACCAGUUAGUUCAAAAUCGUUGUAAUUGUCGCUAUGACUGAAAACGGACGAACAUCAUCAUCAUCAUACAUUAUAAUCUACAAUGUGGACUUUAAUUCAAGAUUGGAGGAUUCAUUGGAGACAGAAUCACCAGCGCCUAGAAGAUCAUCUGUAAGUUUCGUUAAGGAAUCGAAACCACCAAUGAUGAAUUAGUGUCAGAUUCGAGGACAUGCAUAACACGAGUGCAAUAGUUAUACAACGUCACUAGAAAAGCAGAAAUAUCGAGAGCGAAUAUCGAUUUUGUAAAAACAGGUGAAUGUCGUCGGUGAAAACGAUUUUCCUAUUGUAAUUACCGCCGCCGCCGUACGUCUAGACUCUAAAGAAAGCACCGAUCGAUUACAAGCUUCAUAUCGAUAAUUAAAGUUAAUUAAAUCAAUUCCUAAAUGAGUGUAUUUUUUAUUAACUGAUUUU